UCCCAAAUAAGUUGCCUGCCAAACUAACUUUCUUCAGCACACCAUUGAAUGCUAAUGAAAUCCCAAUAGUGUUGUUUCUGUCUGCACCUGUCACACUUUUGGAUUCAUCUCACAUGUGAACUAUUUCAAUUCGUUGCUUCUUUAGCUGUGAGCGAUUCAUUCUCAUCUGAACAAACAACCGUUUUUGACGACCACCCACCUCCCCACCAGCUAUAAUAACUUUGAGGCACGUCAUUGGAACACCUUUCUCCCAGUAGGGGAGCGUUUCGAUGCCAGCAGUCCCGAAUAGGGCUACCCGUGAUCACAUCCUCUGGCUCUGAGGAUCUUCCCUCGGAGAUGAAGCCAUUCCACAAACUAUUUAAUAAAAUGUCAUGUUGCAUUCUG